rnacentral:rRNA from 1 species
UGGCGGACGGGUGAGUAACGCGUGGGCAACCUGCCUUACACAGGGGGAUAACACUUAGAGAUAGGUGCUAAAACCGCAUAAGCGCACAGCUUCGCAUGAAGCGGUGUGAAAAACUCCGGUGGUGUAAGAUGGACCCGCGUCUGAUUAGCUUGUUGGCGGGGUAACGGCCCACCAAGGCGACGAUCAGUAGCCGGCCUGAGAGGGUGAACGGCCACAUUGGGACUGAGACACGGCCCAAACUCCUACGGAAGGCAGCAG